rnacentral:rRNA from 1 species
UACGGAGGGUGCAAGCGUUAUCCGGAUUUACUGGGUUUAAAGGGUGCGUAGGCGGGCCAUUAAGUCAGUGGUGAAAGCUCCGAGCUUAACUCGGAAACUGCCAUUGAUACUGUUGGUCUUGAAUUCGGUCGAGGUUGGCGGAAUGUGUCGUGUAGCGGUGAAAUGCUUAGAUAUGACACAGAACACCGAUUGCGAAGGCAGCUAGCUAGACCGACAUUGACGCUGAGGCACGAAAGCGUGGGGAGCAAACAGG